rnacentral:rRNA from 1 species
ACGAACGCUGGCGGCGUGCUUAACACAUGCAAGUCGAACGGUAAGGCCUUUCGGGGUCCACGAGUGGCGAACGGGUGAGUAACACGUGGGUGAUCUGCCCUGCACUUCGGGAUAAGCCCGGGAAACUGGGUCUAAUACCGGAUAGGACUGCGCGGUGCAUGCCGUGUGGUGGAAAGAUUUAUCGGUGCAGGAUGGGCCCGCGGCCUAUCAGCUUGUUGGUGGGGUAAUGGCCUACCAAGGCGACGACGGGUAGCCGGCCUGAGAGGGCGACCGGCCACACUGGGACUGAGACACGGCCCAGACUCCUACGGGAGGCAGCAGUGGGGAAUAUUGCACAAUGGGCGCAAGCCUGAUGCAGCGACGCCGCGUGAGGGAUGACGGCCUUCGGGUUGUAAACCUCUUUCAGCAGGGACGAAGCGUGAGUGACGGUACCUGCAGAAGAAGCACCGGCCAACUACGUG